AUGGCAGACAUUGACAACAAAAAACAGUGUGAACUUGAUCAAGAUUUGGAUGUUGAAGAAGUAGAAGAAAAGAAACUGAUGAAGAAACAAAAAUCAAAGCGCGUCAGCUGACUGUUCAGAUGAUGCAAAAUCCUCAGAUUCUUACAGCCCCUCAAGAAAGACUUGAUGGUCUGGUAGAAACACCAACAGGAUACACUGAAAGCUUGCCUAGGGUAGUUAAAAGACAAGUGAAUGCUCUCAAAAACCUUCAAGUUAAAUGUGCACAGAUAGAAGCCAAAUUCUAUGAGGAAGUUCAUGAUCUUGAAAGGAAGUAUACUGCUCUUUAUCAGCCUUUAUUUGACAAGCGAUUUGAGAUUAUUAAUGCAAUUUAUGAACCUAUGGACGAAGAAUGUGAAUGGAAACCAGAUGAAGACGACGAAAUUUCUGAGGAGCUAGAAGAAAAGGCCAAGAUUGAAGAGGAGAAAAAGGAUGAAGAAAAAGAAGAUCCCAAAGGAAUUUCUGAAUUUUGGUUGACUGUUUUUAAGAAUGUUGACUUGCUCAGUGAUAUGGUUCAGGAACAUGAUGAACCUAUUCUGAAGCACCUGAAACAUAUUAAAGUGAAGUUUUCAGAUGCCAGCCAGCCAAUGAGUUUUGUAUAAUCCCAAGAUCAGUGUUAUACUUCACUGGAGAAGCAAAUGAAGAUGACGACGAUGAUUAUGAUAAAGAAGGUGAGGAAGCAGAUGAGGAAGGGGAAGGAGGAGAUGAGGAAAAUGAUCCAGACUAUGACCCAAAGAAGGAUCAAAACCCAGCAGAGUACAAGCAGCAGUGAAGCAGGAUGUAUGUGGCCUUGAGGAUAAUCUGCACUGUAAUAGCCUAAAUACAACUAUUAUUUACUUACAGCCUUAUGUUUUUGUAUUUUCUUGGUAGACUCAGUAAUUUUUUUUUAAAGAACAGGAACUGAUAUUUAAAGACCAAUUUGUUCUACCUAGCAUUUUAACUAUAGUUUUUCUGCCAGGUAUGUUGAAGGCACAAAUUAUUUCACGCAUGUUCAUUCAUUGCUACAUAGUUUGGUUCUUCUGGAAUAUUUUCAUCAUGUAGCUAUUGGAGUACAGCUAUUAAAAUUAAUAACUGUUA